UGCUGUCACUUCAGCAGCACAUAUAACUAAAAUUGGAACAAUACAGAGAAAAUUAACAUGGCCCCUGAGCAAGGAUGAUACACAAAUUCCUGAAGUAUUCCAUUUUUUU
rfam:Loxodonta africana unplaced genomic scaffold scaffold_16, whole genome shotgun sequence.